UGGGGAAUCUUCCGCAAUGGGCGCAAGCCUGACGGAGCAAUGCCGCGUGAGUGAAGAAGGCCUUCGGGUUGUAAAACUCUGUCCUCAUCCAAGAGAAGGAAAGGUAGUAACUGACCUUUCCAGGACGGUAGAUGAGGAGGAAGCCCCGGCUAACUAUGUGCCAGCAGCCGCGGUAAAAUAUAGGGGGCAAGCGUUGUCCGGAAUCACUGGGCGUAAAGGGCGCGCAGGCGGUCUGUUAAGUCAGAUGUGAAAGGUUAGGGCUCAACCCUGAACGUGCAUCUGAUACUGGCAGACUUGAGUAUGGAAGAGGUAAGUGGAAUUCCUAGUGUAGCGGUGAAAUGCGUAGAUAUUAGGAGGAACACCAGUGGCGAAGGCGACUUACUGGGCCAUAACUGACGCUGAGGCGCGAAAGCGUGGGGAGCAAACAGG
rnacentral:rRNA from 1 species